rnacentral:rRNA from 1 species
CCGCAAGGAGGCAGCGGCCGAAGGUAGGGUCAGCGAUUGGGGUGAAGUCGUAACAAGGUAGCCGUAGGAGAACCUGCGGCUGGAUCACCUCCUUUCUAAGGA